rnacentral:tRNA from 1 species
GGCAAUAUGGCCGAGUGGUCUAAGGCGCCAGAAUCAGGACCUUGAGGGCACAUUCCUCCAAUCUAUCUGGUCCGAAAGGGCGAGGGUUCGAAUCCCUCUGUUGUCA